rnacentral:rRNA from 1 species
GACGAACGUUGGCGGCGUGCUUAAUACAUGCAAGUCCACUGAAGCAGUGGUAGCAAUCUCGCUGUGGAGGUGGCGCACGGGUGAGUAACACGUAGGUAAUCUGCCUUCAGGUCUGGCAUAACUCCGGGAAACCGGGGCUAAUAGCAGAUGAUGCAGCGGCUCGACAUCGAGACAGUUGUUAAAGCUAUGGCGCCUGAAGAUGAGCCUGCGUCUGAUUAGCUAGUUGGCGGGGUAACGGCCCACCAAGGCAACGAUCAGUAGCUGGUCUGAGAGGAUGAUCAGCCACACUGGAACUGAGACACGGUCCAGACUCCUACGGGAGGCAGCAGUAAGGAAUAUUGCUCAAUGGGAGAAAUCCUGAAGCAGCAACGCCGCGUGAGGGACGAAGGGCUUUGGCUUGUAAACCUCUGUAGUGAGAGAAAAAAAUCCCAAUCUUUGGGACAUGAUGGUAUCUCAAAAGUAAGCCCCGGCUAACUACGUG